UUUAAGGAGGAGACAAAUCGCUUUCUUUGCUCCUCCGGAUGUAGAGCUCUUCUUC
rnacentral:sRNA from 1 species